CCUACGGGGGGCUGCAGUGGGGAAUAUUGGACAAUGGAGGCAACCCUGAUCCAGCCAUGCCGCGUGUGUGAAGAAGGCCCUCGGGUUGUAAAGCACUUUCAGUGAGGAAGAACGCCUGGUGGUUAAUACCCAUCAGGAAAGACAUCACUCACAGAAGAAGCACCGGCUAACUCCGUGCCAGCAGCCGCGGUAAUACGGAGGGUGCGAGCGUUAAUCGGAAUUACUGGGCGUAAAGCGCGCGUAGGUGGCUUGAUAAGCCGGUUGUGAAAGCCCCGGGCUCAACCUGGGAACGGCAUCCGGAACUGUCAAGCUAGAGUGCAGGAGAGGAAGGUAGAAUUCCCGGUGUAGCGGUGAAAUGCGUAGAGAUCGGGAGGAAUACCAGUGGCGAAGGCGGCCUUCUGAACUGACACUGACACUGAGGUGCGAAAGCGUGGGUAGCAAACAGGAUUAGAUACCCUAGUAGUC
rnacentral:rRNA from 1 species